GGCCAUCACCAGUCAGAGUGCCGGGGGCAGCCGCCCAUUCCUGCGUUUUAUCAAGACACUGUUCAGAAGGAGAUCAGCAGCUUUGUGGCCAAGUGUGAAGAUGACAGUGUUGAAAAUGAAGGAGAAUCUUAGGUCAUAAAUAAUUGCCUUGUGACCCAAACGACGGUUUGAACCAGUGGAAGAGAAUUCAGUAGUGGAAGAGCAGCUAUCUGUUCUCCUGGAAGCAUUCCAGAAGCACUAAAGUUGCCCAUAAAGUGAUGUUUUGAAGACUAGUCCAGCUGUUUCCAGUGCCUAUUUUUCAUUCCUUGGAGUGGACGGCCUCCUUUUUGAAUGUUGCUGCAUGGAGGCUGUUAACACCCACCAGGCUGCGAGGAGAUGAUGCGUACUGUCUGUGGCACACUGCUUCUGGAACGUAGGUUUGCAGUGCCCUUCAGCAGCAGAUUAAUUUACUAACAUCCAAAACAGCAACAGGAAGAGAGAAGAGAGUGAAGAGUUGGACCAGGAGGAUGGAAAGGAGAGGAAUGGAGUGGUGAAUGUUAAGUGGGGUUUCUGGAGCCAAAUGAAUGAUGGCAGGAGUUCACUAUUGUGGCAACAUCAAACAGUGACAAAUUAGAGAGCACUGAAUUCAAGAUUUUCUGCGCUGCCUUCACUUAUUCCCCCUAUGCUCUACUGCAUUCUGAUAACAGACUGGUAAUUUCAGCACCCAGCAAUAGCAGAUGGAAUCUAUUCAUCAUCCCAAUGACCCGGCACAUCAUAACCCACUCAUCAUCCAAUGACCCAGCACAUCGUAAGUACAGCAGGACAGAGGUUAGGACACCCGUCCUGCCCAGUUUGCGUAACAGUGACAUUACUGGCAUUUUUUGAGCACAUUUCUGUCAGGCUAUGUCAAAGCUUUCAGUGGUUUGGGGGUUUGUGAUCUUAGUACACAUCAGCUGACAGGUUCAAGCGCUGGCUGGGACGACAUCAGCUGGAGUCGGAGCUUCCAUGCGGAGCUACAAAGCUGUUCCAGUUGUACCGUGGUACAAAGUAUAUUGCCAAAGUAGUGCAGCCAUCGACUACCUUGGGAUUGGCCUGGUAGUCAUUAAAACUGUAGACACUAAAGGAAGAUGAGUUACAAUGUGGGGCUGGAGAUCCCAUAGAAAUAAAUACCGGGCUGAUUCACAAAGCUGGGACAUGAUCUUACAGCACAGGUGAACCUGGAUGCCAGCUCUCGGGCAGAACCACAGCAGAGCUGGACAAGCAUCUCUUCUCCAGAAAUAAAUACUAUCCGCAAU
rnacentral:lncRNA from 7 species